CAGUACGUUUAUAAGUGCCCAAAAUGUCCUCCACAAGAUUCAGUGCGUAGCUCAACACAUCCCCUCAGGAUCAGCAUAUCCAUUCAAAGAUGCCAGGGUAGUUACAGUCAGCUGUGACCAUCUUCAGAAGGCAUUAACAGCAUGCUAAGAAACUACAGGUAUUGUUACAUAGCUCAUAAUACAUAUGCUUAAACUUUGUAUAAAAUAUUUAAAGUUAAAAGUGUUAAUAGAAUAUUAUUGUCCUUAAUAUUUAAAGUCUUGAACCACUGAGGUCCAGCCAGCAUUGUUUCCCUUAUUUAUAUGAUACAUUAAGGAUCUGUAAUUAUAUUAUGGAUAUAUUUAUAUAAAAGUGCAUGUACUUAAUUAUUCUUUGAUUCCAAUUUUUAUUUAGGUUCAAUUUUGUCUGUUCCUUCAUGUUAUUGUCAAGUUGUUUCUCCUUUUCUUGUGUAUUGAAGCAUUCAUUUGUGGUGUGUUGUGUGGGGUAUUUAUAUCCCUGUCCCCUAUGUUGUUCUUAUGGGCGUGUACUCAUGUCUUAACGCUAUGUCGAACAUACUAUUCUGGUUAUCAUUUUCUUCUGUGCACUUUUGUUCUUCUAUUAGUUCCUUGAAUUGUUUGAAUUUAUAAAUAUAGUAAUUUUCUUUUAUAUUCGUAAUGUUACCCUUUCUAGCAUGUUCGAUCAGUUUCAUAAUUCGUUCCACUGAAUUGAUCGAAUACAAUAAAAAGGGAAACAUCAUAAAAGCUUUUGAAGCAAUAUACUUAUAUAAUUGAAAUCACUGUUCAUUGCUUUGUCUCUCAAUUGAAGAAAACAAAGAUACAGUUAACUCCAGGGGGUAGAGACUGAGAUGGUUCAAGCAGUAGCACUUCUGACUUCUAUUUGAGAGCCGUUUAAAAUCCCAGCCAGGAUACCAUCAUGACUUGGGUUUUGUCAAGUUCCCCAGUCCAAGCAAAUAUCAAGAUAGUACCUCAUUUUCAGCCAUGUCUGCUUUCUGCUAUAUCCUUACCAAUUGAAAAGUAACUAGGACGAUCUCCACAUCCACAUGAGAAUGUAUUCUUGACAGGAUUUAUGGAAGGUGAAUAAAUGAAUGAAUUCAUUUUUCACUAAUCACACUACCAUUCAGCACUAGUCUGAGCUACAGACAUCUUAAGAUCUGAAGCUUUCCUGGAGUCUGAAGUUAAUAAAAUCUUGUCCAGCUCUCAACCAUGUCAGCCUGACAUUUCAUGUGCUAUUUGUCCACAUAAUUUACUGACUUUAUUAUAUAUAUCUAUGGACCAGAGACCUUUACUGAAGAACAUAUUCCCCAUCUAUUAUGCAUCCAAAUAUUUUGUUACUGUAUCCACUGGGAGUCACCACUAGUUCAUGACCUGAACCAAAUGAAUCUAUUCCUUCAAAAUCCAUUUUAAUAUUAUCCUGAAUCUGCUAUUAGGUCUUCCUGGCAGUCCUUUCUCUUCACAUUUAAAUUCUACACACAGACAAAUGGUAGACACCAAGGGAAACUUACACCAAAGUUAGGCAAUAUAUGUUGGACAUGAUUUGAAAUGCUAUGCUAUUUAAAUGUGUAAAUGUAAUCCAAUGGUAUCAAUAUUUUGAUGUAAUAAAUGCACCUGCUAUCUCAAAAUGGUUUAUUAACAUAACUGUACAAUUGAAACUUGUUAAAAACACUACACUAAUUAUAACAUAGAAAACUUG